GAUGAACGCUGGCGGCGUGCCUAAUACAUGCAAGUCGAGCGAACGGACGAGAAGCUUGCUUCUCUGAUGUUAGCGGCGGACGGGUGAGUAACACGUGGAUAACCUACCUAUAAGACUGGGAUAAAUUCGGGAAACCGGAGCUAAUACCGGAUAAUAUUUUGAACCGCAUGGUUCAAAAGUGAAAGACGGUCUUGCUGUCACUUAUAGAUGGAUCCGCGCUGCAUUAGCUAGUUGGUAAGGUAACGGCUUACCAAGGCAACGAUGCAUAGCCGACCUGAGAGGGUGAUCGGCCACACUGGAACUGAGACACCGUCCAGACUCCUACGGGAGGCAGCAGUAGGGAAUCUUCCGCAAUGGGCGAAAGCAUGACGGAGCAACGCCGCGUGAGUGAUGACGGUCUUCGGAUCGUAAAACUCUGUUAUUAGGGAAGAACAUAUGUGUAAGUAACUGUGCACAUCUUGACGGUACCUAAUCAGAAAGCCACGGCUAACUACGUG
rnacentral:rRNA from 1 species